UGGGGGGAUAUUGCACAAUGGAGGAAACUCUGAUGCAGCGACGCCGCGUGAGUGAAGAAGUAUUUCGGUAUGUAAAGCUCUAUCAGCAGGGAAGAAAGACCUCGAAAGAGGGGAUGACGGUACCUGAGUAAGAAGCCCCGGCUAACCACGUGCCAGCAGCCGCGGUAAUACGUAGGGGGCGAGCGUUAUCCGGAUUUACUGGGUGUAAAGGGAGCGCAGACGGAAGAGCAAGUCUGAUGUGAAAACCCGGGGCUCAACCCCGGGCCUGCAUUGGAAACUGUUUUUCUUGAGUGCCGGAGGGGUAAGCGGAAUUCCUAGUGUAGCGGUGAAAUGCGUAGAUAUUAGGAGGAACACCAGUGGCGAAGGCGGCUUACUGGACGGUAACUGACGUUGAGGCUCGAAAGCGUGGGGAGCAAACAGGAUUAGAUACCCUGGUAGU
rnacentral:rRNA from 1 species